UACGAGGAAUAUCGAGUCCUGUCAGCGGAUCCUAAGGGCGCCUGCUUCGUGUCUCGCCAUCAAUUCCUGGGGUGUUCUGCCUUCGAGAGCUUCAACGCUUCAAAUCAAGAUGCGGACCUCGCAGAUGUGGGCGAAGGCGAAGAUUCACUCCGGUGCAAGCUAGUAGACACGCGGCUUUCGAGUGUCUCGGUGUCUCCGAGCAUCCUCGUCGGUACCUGAUCAACCCCACUGCCACGGGCGCCCAGAUGCAAGACCUACCUUCUACAUGAAGAGGCUGGCUGCACUACGCCGCAUCUGUAUCUCACACCUGCACAUUGUAUCCAGUGCGCCGUCCAUUUGCGUGGAACGAGAAUUGAUUCUGCCUUGCCUUGUCUUCUCAUCAUGAUGUGAGAGCAUCGAAGCCCCAUCAAGCAGAUCUUAAUACCUAGCGGUGACGUAACUUUUCAAUAAAUUAUACAAAAGGUUUUAAUUUCAUAGUCUAGUUAUGAUAGGAGUAUACAAGCGGUUUAAAUAAUAUUCACGAUUCCUAACUGCUUACUUAUUUGUAGGUAGAUAACUGGUGCCUAUUUGAUACUUAUUUUAUAAUCAUGAUUCCGUUUUAUAGGUACAUACCUAAGUAUAUUACGUAUGUUGAAAUGUUAUUGUGGGUGUAUAUAUUUUGAUCAUUUGGUAUAUAGUUUGAUCUGUAUUUGCCAAUGUAUUA